rnacentral:rRNA from 1 species
UACGGAGGAUCCGAGCGUUAUCCGGAUUUAUUGGGUUUAAAGGGUGCGCAGGCGGGAGAUUAAGUCGGCGGUGAAAUUUUGCAGCUCAACUGUAAAAGUGCCUUCGAAACUGGUUUCCUUGAGUGUAGAUGAAGUAGGCGGAAUUUGUGGUGUAGCGGUGAAAUGCAUAGAUAUCACGAGGAACUCCGAUUGCGCAGGCAGCUUACUAAACUACUACUGACGCUCAGGCACGAAGGCGUGGGGAUCAAACAGGAUUAGAUACCCGU